UGCGCCCUCUCCUCCUGUUUAUCCCAUGCUGUUUGUUUGGCGAUGAAAUGAAGUCAGUAUUGGUGACUGAGAGAGAUUCCAUCAUUCUAAAUACUGAUAUAAAAGUACAGACCAAAGAUAUGUUAUUGUGGUUGUUUGGAGCACAGAAGAGCAUUGCUGAAAUAUAUUACCAGAACAUGUUUAUGUAUGACAGUAAUAAGAGAUUUGGAGACAGACUCCAGGUGGACAAUCAAACUGGAUCUCUGACUAUCAGAAACAUCAGAUCUGAACACACUGGACUUUAUAAGCUACUGAUCCUCAGCAACAGAGAAAACUCAUACAAGCGAUUCAGUGUCAAUGUCUACACUCAUCUGCCUGUUCCUGUCAUCACUGCAAACUCUUCACAAUGAAGAACACUGAACAGUGCUGAGGCUCCCCCGACUAGAGUGUACAACAAAACAUCUGAAUAUUCGAAAAAUUUGGUGAAACUGAUUACAGGGAUAUAACUAAAGACAGGACAAACUAACAAAAACAACUGCGGAUGACGCCACGGAGGGGUGUGUGUGUUUUCACCAAGUACCACAUGUUUCUGGAUCAACAUCCCUAUUGAUCCUGGAGCAACGUUCCAAUCAACCAAUCAGAAUUGAGAUAUAACUUUUCAAGAAAUAUCUG